rnacentral:tRNA from 1 species
GUUUUAAUAGUUUAUCAAAAAUAUUGAUUUUGUAAAUCAAUGAAAAAUUUUUAUUUUUAAAACU